GUGCUCACUUCAGCGGCACAUAUACUAAAAUUGGAACAAUGCAGAGAAGAUUAGCAUGGCCCCUGAACAAGGAUGACACACUAAUUCACAAAGUGUGCAAUGUGGUU
rnacentral:snRNA from 1 species